rnacentral:piRNA from 1 species
UGACACUAUCACUAUCACUAUCAGGCUAA